rnacentral:rRNA from 1 species
GGAGUUUGGGCCGUGUCUCAGUUCCAAUGUGGGGGACCUUCCUCUCAGAACCCCUACUGAUCGUUGGCUCGGUGGGCCGUUACCCCGCCGACUACCUAAUCAGACGCAUCCCCAUCCUAUAGCGGUGAACCUUUGUUCCAACUUAGAUGUCCUCAUUGGAAAACAUAGAGUAUUAAUCCGACUUUCGCCGGGCUAUCCUCUACUAUAGGAAGGUUGGAUACGCGUUACUCACCCGUGCGCCGGUCGCCAGCAUCAAAAGACAAGCUUUCGAUCUGCUGCCCCUCCGACUUGCAUGUGUUAAGCCUGUAGCUAGCGUUCAUCCUGAGCCAUGAUCAAAACUCU